UAGCUCAGUUGGUUAGAGCAUGGUGCUGAUAACAUCAAGGUCGCAGGUUUGAUCCUUGU
rnacentral:tRNA from 1 species